UACGUAGGGGGCUAGCGUUGUCCGGAAUCAUUGGGCGUAAAGAGCGUGUCGGCGGCUCGGCAAGUCCGCUGUGAAAGUCCAGGGCUCAACCCUGGAAUGCCAGUGGAAACUGUCGAGCUAGAGUCCGGAAGAGGCGAGUGGAAUUCCUGGUGUAGCGGUGAAAUGCGCAGAUAUCAGGAGGAACACCAAUGGCGAAGGCAGCUCGCUGGGACGGUACUGACGCUGAGACGCGAAAGCGUGGGGAGCAAACAGG
rnacentral:rRNA from 1 species